AUUGAACGCUGGCGGCAGGCCUAACACAUGCAAGUCGAGCGGUAGAGAGAAGCUUGCUUCUCUUGAGAGCGGCGGACGGGUGAGUAAUGCCUAGGAAUCUGCCUGGUAGUGGGGGAUAACGUUCGGAAACGGACGCUAAUACCGCAUACGUCCUACGGGAGAAAGCAGGGGACCUUCGGGCCUUGCGCUAUCAGAUGAGCCUAGGUCGGAUUAGCUAGUUGGUGGGGUAAUGGCUCACCAAGGCGACGAUCCGUAACUGGUCUGAGAGGAUGAUGAGUAACACUGGAACUGAGACACGGUCCAGACUCAUACGGGAGGCAGCAGUGGGGAAUAUUGGACAAUGGGCGAAAGCCUGAUCCAGCCAUGCCGCGUGUGUGAAGAAGGUCUUCGGAUUGUAAAGCACUUUAAGUUGGGAGGAAGGGCAGUAAAUUAAUACUUUGCUGUUUUGACGUUACCGACAGAAUAAGCACCGGCUAACUCUGUGCCAGCCGCCGCCGUAA
rnacentral:rRNA from 1 species